rnacentral:sRNA from 1 species
UACAGGCACAUGUUCUUUGAUUUCUCAAGAACCAACUUAUGCAACUUCAAAUACGGAACUUUCUGCAAUCAAUGACACGGAAAGCUUUGCAGUUGUAUCAACAAAAGAGACAAAAAUAAGUACAACUCAAGCUAGUAUACUUCCUGGGAAUUACAAAGUAGUUAAUAUGAAGGUGAUCAAUUGUUCCACUGUUUCCGGAGAAAUAGACACUGAACAAUUACAAGUGAGGCCUAUAAUACAGGAAGACGCUUUACCUCGUUCAUUGAAUACACCUGUGUUUGAUGUAAACAGCAAAAAAACAGACUCCACUCUGGUAGAUGGUACAUCGGAAAAUCAAACUGUUUUAGUAAACGUCCCAAAGACAUCUUCAAAUACAUGAUGACAGUCUUGAUCACAGAAUUCACACGUCCUUCAGAACAAUGCAAACAUGGAGAGAAUACUGUUAAUGAUUUAUAUUUUUUUCAAACUCUAAACAAUUAUAUGCAAGAGCUUUUUUUAGACUAAA